CAGUCAAAUUAUAGACAGACUAAGCAUGUAGCUGCCGGUGUGCGUAGGGCUUGCGGACGCGGGUUCGAUUCCCGCCGCCUCCACCA
rnacentral:tmRNA from 1 species